CACAUCCAAUAUUCCUCAAAAGACAGCCUCGAGUGCUUUUGCAUUCAAAGCCCAAAGGGAAGCACUUAUGAUGCGCGUACGAGGUGAUUAUUCUGGCUCAUGGGAGCGUGGCUCCAUAACGCUUAAAGUGGAAGUCAAGGAAAUUGGACUCACGAUGAUUAAUGUGUCGCCCUCUUCCAAGAUACAAGACAUUUGUGAAAUUGUAAAGAAGAAUUAUGAGAAUAAGGAAUGGAAUCCGAAACAUUAUGAAUUAAAACAACAUGAUGGAAAGGUUCUAGAAAAAUCCAAGCGGAUAUCAGAAUACUCCAUCAAGAAUGGGGAAACCCUCAAGUUCGAGAUGCCGUGAGAAGAUGCACACAGCAAAUGACUCUUCAUUUUAAUAGUUUCCACCAAGGGGAAUAAGAAUUGUGUCCGAAUAAGAAAUAGGUCAAGAAUAAUGUGAAUGUGUGAUUGUGGUAAGACCAUAUUAGUAGACAGAAUAUUUUAUUGGGGUGAGGUUGUAUUUUUUCUUUUUUUUCUUUUUCUAUGUAAAAUGUUCAGAAGUAGUAAUAUAAUAAAAAAAAAAUUAUGUCCGUCCUUAAUGAUCAAA